rnacentral:misc_RNA from 1 species
CACCUCUCAACCCACCCCGGUGGGUUGGACCGUGGCCGGUGGCUGUCGCAGCCCGGCCGAAAUGCACGCGGAGCGCGCACGCGCGUCUGCGACGUGCCACAGCGUUGUUAGACCCCUCGCUGACCGUCGCGGAUGCGUGGCUCCCCAGCCUUUAC